GUCGUUCUCCUAGUGUUCACUGUUGGCCUCUAUGUUCCAUUUAGCCAUAAGGCACGCGGUGAAUGCCAAGAGCCGACUU
rnacentral:pre_miRNA from 1 species